rnacentral:lncRNA from 1 species
GCCGGGAGAGCUGCUCCGGGGUGGGACGGAGCCGGACUGGGCCGAGCGAGGGAGGCUCCUGAGCCUCGGAGGACCCCGGGGUUGGCUUUGGGAGCUGAAAGUUUCCUUGGACCCCUCGGAAGCCCCGUGACAUCAGAGGCCGGGCCUGGCAGGGGCAGGCAGGAAACGUGUCUGGAGGCUACUGCCCUCUCCGCGUGACCUUGGGCGAGCAGCCUCCUCCUGGGGCUCAGUGGGUGUGAUUUUGUAACAUUUCCCAGCGCUGCGACAGGCGCGUCCUCGCCCUGUCCAACGCGGAGCCCGAAGAAUUACUAAGAAACCGAGGUCUGAAGGAGGGAAGAAGUGACGGGCUCGAGGCCACACGGUGGGCCAGGCUGGGCCCGGCUGCACGCCGGCUACCGGGGCCCAGCCCUCUGCACGCCUCCCGCAGCCUCAGUUUCCCUGUCCGUGGUACUGAGGAUGCUCGGGCCUAGAAGUUCAGGGCUGGAGGCCCAGGGACCGGCGAGGGAGGGGCAUCAUCCCCGCCAUGGGGCCGCCGCAACUGCCCAGAGCACAGGCCAAAGGAAGCUGCAGGAUGAAGACAACAGCAUCACAAGGAGGAAGCCAGGAUCCCUGUGUUACCACAAGGAUGAGAGAUGCCUAACCAAGACCGUCUGCAAGGAUUUUGUGUGAGCCAGAAGCAGAGCUGUGUGGUGUUCAGCCACUGAGAUUUGAGGGCUGUUUGUUACAGCAGUUGACCUAUCCUGACUGACACAUCACAUCAUUCCUUUCCCCACCAUGUGUCUAACAUGCUACCAAAUUGAAUUUUAAGUAAAUUAGUACUUAUAAAUUAAGUACAAAUGCUUUUCAAAUUCACAUGAAUCUUUG